rnacentral:rRNA from 1 species
UACGAAGGUGGCAAGCGUUGUUCGGAUUUACUGGGCGUACAGGGAGCGUAGGCGGUUCGGUAAGCCCUCUGUGAAAUCUCCAGGCUUAACCUGGAACAGUCGGAGGGGACUGCUGGGCUAGAGGACGGGAGAGGAGCGCGGAAUUCCCCGGUGUAGCGGUGAAAUGCGUAGAGAUCGGGAGGAAGGCCGGUGGCGAAGGCGGCGCUCUGGAACGUUUCUGACGCUGAGGCUCGAAAGCGUGGGGAGCAAACAGG